GAUGAACGCUGGCGGCGUGCCUAAUACAUGCAAGUCGAGCGAACGGACGAGAAGCUUGCUUUUCUGAUGUUAGCGGCGGACGGGUGAGUAACACGUGGAUAACCUACCUAUAAGACUGGGAUAACUUCGGGAAACCGGAGCUAAUACCGGAUAAUAUUUUGAACCGCAUGGUUCAAAAGUGAAAGACGGUCUUGCUGUAACUUAUAGAUGGCUCCGGGCUGCAUUAGCUAGUUGGUAAGGUAACGGCUUACCAAGGCAACGAUGCAUAGCCGACCUGAGAGGGGGAUCGGCCACACUGGAACUGAGACACGGUCCAGACUCCUACGGGAGGCAGCAGUAGGGAAUCUUCCGCAAUGGGGGAAAGCCUGACGGAGCAACGCCGCGUGAGUGAUGAAGGUGUCCGGAUCGGAAAACCCUGUUAUUAGGGAAGAACAUAUGUGUAAUUAACUGUGCACAUCGUGACGGUACCUAAUCAGAAAGCCACGGCUAACUACGUG
rnacentral:rRNA from 1 species